rnacentral:snRNA from 1 species
AUGCUCGCUUCAGCAAUACAUAUACUAAAAUUGGAACGAUACAGAGAAGAUUAGCAUGGCUCCU